rnacentral:lncRNA from 1 species
CUCACCUCUGGCACACCAGCCUCUGGCUAAAGGCCUCUCUUGGAGGCUGUCCUGCAGCUGCCUGAGCCCCUUGUCUCAGGGACAACCCCAAGCAACUGGCUGCUGACCAGACAUCGUUGGCCCACGGCACUUUUGCUUUUGGUGGUGGAAGAAGCAAGGUUGGGGAUUUGGGAAGAUAUCUCUUGGGUUUUGUUCAAGGUUACUGGAGUUUGUUCAUGGAGGACCCCAAUUUUUUGAAAAGACUAGAGAUUUUUCACUCACAGAGGAACUCUUGGCCCCGUUUGUCUUGAUAUGUGUGCGUGUGAAUGGUGCCACAAUGGGAACUCAGAUUCAGUUCCCCGUGGCAGCCGUCUAGGGUGUAUAUUGCAAAAUUGAAAUGUUUUCAAUUAUGAACCUAUGAAGAGGAAAAAAAAGCCAGAAGGCAGAAAUUACAAUGAGAAAUCUGACCAACCGUCAUUUGGGGCAACAGUUAAGCCACUAAGACUGGCCCAGAACUAACAUCUGCUGCCAAUUCUCGUCCUUUUGCUGAGGAAGACUGGCCCUGAGCUAACAUCUGUGCCCAUCUUCGUCUACUUUUUAUAUGUGGGACUCCUACCAUAGCAUGGCUUGACAAGCAGUGCCAUGUCCUCACCCGGGAUCUGAACCGGCAAACUUCGGGCCGCCAAAGGGGAACGUGCGAACUUAACUGCUGCGCCACCGGGCCGGCCCCUGGAUGGUAUAAUUUCUGAAGGAGUUCUAUUUAAUUGGCUUGAAGUCAGCACUUAUAUAAAUUUUUUCUAAAUGUUAUAGAAACUAGCCCAGAGGUCUUUCAAGUUAACAUGAUAUAAAAUGAUCUUUGGCAAAUAAGAGCUUGUUUAAGUUUGUUGGUUUAAUUGAAAUAAAUGUGAUUUCAGCGUUAUCAACAUUGGAUAUGAUACAAACAUGUUAUCUCUAUUACAAAAUUUGUCAGCAAAAAAUAAUAACUUAGUAUAAUAGUUAAUUUUGUUUGAUGUCUCAUGAGGUUUUUGUAGGCAACCUAAAUAUAAUUGUUGAGAACAGGUAAACUAAAUAGGUGCAAAAAGGAUGAAAGUUUUUUGGGGAACUUUUUAACAAUAAUUAUGUGUUAUGAUGUACGUAUUUAAAACAUCUUAAAAUGAUGGCUAACUGCUCUAAUGUCACAUGAAGUUUCUGUGAGUAAUCUAAACCUAACUGUUGGGAAUAAAUGACUUAGAUAGAUGAAAAUGGGUAAAAGUUUUUGAGUGCAAUAAUUGUGUUUUAUGGUCUGUGUACUUGAAAAACAGCUUCCAAAAUCUUUUUGGCAACUUGAAACUUCAGAGUUUUGCUAAAUUAAAUAAUAGAAAUUUAUUGAGUAUCUAGGUCAUUUCCAUGUAAUAAAAAAUAUUAGAAAUUGAUUACUAAGCAUAGAUUUGUCUGCCUUUGGUUUCUUAUCUCAGAGAAACUGAAAGAUGCUUAGAUUUACUGAUAAACAUGUUUCAUGUAUGAUGGGGAAUUUUCUAUGAGAAAGUACAUAUUUCCGUAUACAAGGAAAGUAAAAUGUAUAUUUUCAUGAAAGAAGGUAAAAAGAAUAGAGGUAUUUUUCUUAGUUUUCUUAAGAAAGAUAAAUUUGCCCUAAAGUACUAGAAAAGAAAAAAAGGAAAGAAAACAGGGAACAAAUGCUGAAUGUAAAAAGCAAGUGACAGAAGAUUUGUG